AUGGGCGACGUCCUGGUGAAGGAGCUCGGGCUACGGAACGGCGACCCGUCGCACUGGUACGAGGAGAAGAGCAGCGGCAGCGGCAAGGAGUGGUCGACUCCCGGCGGCCCCGGGCUGGGCAUGUCGAUCCUUGGCACGAGCAAGAGGUACUGCGCCGACGCCAGGAAGGCCCUGAGCCGGCUGGCCCGAUCGGGCACGGACGGCGGCGGCGGCGGUAGCCCGAGGAUGAGCAGGGAGAGGAGGAGCGGCAAGGCGGCCUCCUCGCCGCUGCACUCGACGUCCGGGCGGAUGCCGCAGCUGCAGCUGCAGGUGAAGCCGCCGUCCGAGUCGUGGCUCUGCCACGCGCGCGGGAGCAACACUGUGAACAGCAAAAGAUGA
rnacentral:rRNA from 1 species